rnacentral:rRNA from 1 species
GACGAACGCUGGCGGCGUGCUUAACACAUGCAAGUCGAACGAAAAGACGGAAAGAGCUUGCUCUUUACAGAAUUGAGUGGCAAACGGGUGAGUAACACGUAAACAACCUGCCUUCAGGAUGGGGACAACAGACGGAAACGACUGCUAAUACCGAAUAAGUUCCAAGGGCCGCAUGGCCCAUGGAAGAAAAGGUGGCCUCUACCUGUAAGCUAUCGCCUGAAGAGGGGUUUGCGUCUGAUUAGCUGGUUGGAGGGGUAACGGCCCACCAAGGCGACGAUCAGUAGCCGGUCUGAGAGGAUGAACGGCCACACUGGAACUGAGACACGGUCCAGACUCCUACGGGAGGCAGCAGUGGGGAAUCUUCCGCAAUGGGCGAAAGCCUGACGGAGCAACGCCGCGUGAGUGAUGACGGCCUUCGGGUUGUAAAACUCUGUGAUCCGGGACGAAAAGGCAGAGUGCGAAGAACAAACUGCAUUGGCG